GCAGCAGCUCCUGCCACAGUGACACAGCGGCUCCAGUCCCACCAGCCUCUGCCCAGUGUCCUCCAGGCCAUGGGAGGACGAACUUCCACCCAGCCUCCCCCUCUUGCCUCCUCUUCCCUCUCCCCACCCCACCUUCCCUUCACACAUCCCUCAUAUGGGGUCUCUAGGAAGGCAGGGGUCGCACACAGCUCACCUCGGCCUUUCGGCGGUUGUACCUCUUGACUGUCUCCAGCUGCUGCUGCUCCUUGGGUGGCUGUCAUGGAAAAUCAACUCGUCCAAACCUCAAACCCUCAUCUUCCUCAAACGAGCCCUCCCUCAGCCUCACUGACCACGACCGCUGUCCAUUCCUCACCCAUGCCUCAGAGUCCUCCUUGUCACCUCUGUCUCUCACACCCACAUCCAUCUCCUGCCCACCUGCUUCAAGCCAUCUCCAGGAACUGCCUCUCACUGCCCUCCUUGGCCACGGCAGCUGGAGGGACCCUGUGUUGGCGCCAGCCUGCCUCAAUGUGUCCUGUCUCUGCUCCCUCCAGUGGAUGUGUGACCAGACCGGUACCCCGCCUUCCCUCUUCCCUGCCUCACUCCACUCCAGCCCCUCCUGGCCACCCUCAAACACUUGAGGGAGGGUGGGCACUGCCCCAGGGCCUUUGCCUGCACCUUGCUCCUGCCCAGGAUGCUGUUCUCUGAGACACCCCAUGGCCGACUUGCUCACUUCUGGUUUUUUACUCCAUGGCAUUUCUCGGGAGGCCUUUCUAGGCCACACAAUCCAGAAUCACAACCGC
rnacentral:lncRNA from 1 species